GAGGCUAUAGCUCAGUGGUAGAGCACUUGCUUAGCAUGCAUGAGGUCCUGGGUUCAAUCCCCAGUACCUCCA
rnacentral:tRNA from 1 species